rnacentral:rRNA from 1 species
AUGAACGCUAGCUACAGGCUUAACACAUGCAAGUCGAGGGGCAGCAUGAACUUAGCUUGCUAAGUUUGAUGGCGACCGGCGCACGGGUGAGUAACACGUAUCCAACCUGCCGAUGACUCGGGGAUAGCCUUUCGAAAGAAAGAUUAAUACCCGAUGGCAUAGUUCUUCCGCAUGGUAGAACUAUUAAAGAAUUUCGGUCAUCGAUGGGGAUGCGUUCCAUUAGGUUGUUGGCGGGGUAACGGCCCACCAAGCCUUCGAUGGAUAGGGGUUCUGAGAGGAAGGUCCCCCACAUUGGAACUGAGACACGGUCCAAACUCCUACGGGAGGCAGCAGUGAGGAAUAUUGGUCAAUGGACGAGAGUCUGAACCAGCCAAGUAGCGUGAAGGAUGACUGCCCUAUGGGUUGUAAACUUCUUUUAUACGGGAAUAAAGUGAGGCACGUGUGCCUUUUUGUAUGUACCGUAUGAAUAAGGAUCGGCUAACUCCGUGCCAGCAGCCGCGGUAAUACGGAGGAUCCGAGCGUUAUCCGGAUUUAUUGGGUUUAAAGGGAGCGUAGGCGGACGCUUAAGUCAGUUGUGAAAGUUUGCGGCUCAACCGUAAAAUUGCAGUUGAUACUGGGUGUCUUGAGUACAGUAGAGGCAGGCGGAAUUCGUGGUGUAGCGGUGAAAUGCUUAGAUAUCACGAAGAACUCCGAUUGCGAAGGCAGCUUGCUGGACUGUAACUGACGCUGAUGCUCGAAAGUGUGGGUAUCAAACAGGAUUAGAUACCCUGGUAGUCCACACAGUAAACGAUGAAUACUCGCUGUUUGCGAUAUACAGUAAGCGGCCAAGCGAAAGCGUUAAGUAUUCCACCUGGGGAGUACGCCGGCAACGGUGAAACUCAAAGGAAUUGACGGGGGCCCGCACAAGCAGUGGAGUAUGUGGUUUAAUUCGAAGCAACGCGAAGAACCUUACCAAGUCUUGACAUCCUUCUGACCGGUACUUAACCGUACCUUCUCUUCGGAGCAGGAGUGACAGGUGGUGCAUGGUUGUCGUCAGCUCGUGCCGUGAGGUGUCGGCUUAAGUGCCAUAACGAGCGCAACCCUUAUCGAUAGUUACCAUCAGGUUAUGCUGGGGACUCUGUCGAGACUGCCGUCGUAAGAUGUGAGGAAGGUGGGGAUGACGUCAAAUCAGCACGGCCCUUACGUCCGGGGCUACACACGUGUUACAAUGGGGGGUACAGAGGGCCGCUACCACGCGAGUGGAUGCCAAUCCCAAAAACCUCUCUCAGUUCGGACUGGAGUCUGCAACCCGACUCCACGAAGCUGGAUUCGCUAGUAAUCGCGCAUCAGCCACGGCGCGGUGAAUACGUUCCCGGGCCUUGUACACACCGCCCGUCACACCAUGAGAGUUGGGGAUACCCGAAGCCUGUGAGCCAACAGUUAAAUGGGGCAGCAGUCGAAGGUAGAAUCAAUGAUUGGGGUG